UGGGGAAUAUUGCACAAUGGGGGAAACCCUGAUGCAGCGACGCCGCGUGAGCGAAGAAGGCUUUCGAGUCGUAAAGCUCUGUCCUAUGAGAAGAUAAUGACGGUAUCAUAGGAGGAAGCCCUGGCUAAAUACGUGCCAGCAGCCGCGGUAAUACGUAUGGGGCUAGCGUUGUCCGGAAUCACUGGGCGUAAAGGGUUCGCAGGCGGAAAUGCAAGUCAGGUGUAAAAGGCAGUAGCUUAACUACUGUAAGCAUUUGAAACUGCAUAUCUUGAGAGGAGUAGAGGUAAGUGGAAUUUUUAGUGUAGCGGUGAAAUGCGUAGAUAUUAAAAAGAAUACCGGUGGCGAAAGCGGCUCUCUGGUCUGUAACUGACGCUGAGGCUCGAAAGCGUGGGGAGCGAACAGG
rnacentral:rRNA from 1 species